GCCCUAACCCCUCCCCAAACACCAACUCAGUCUCUCUUCUUCAUCAAUUUUUAAAAUCUAAAAAUCUGAAAAAUCUAGCUAAACUCCUUUUCUAAAAAUCGCGAAGGGAUUAGGGGAAUAGGUUUCUUUCCAUUUGCGUCUUUUGCGGCACCAAUCCUCACAAGGAUCUCCCUCCGAAGCCCAUCAAGUUCAAGGACACACUCGGUUACAAGUGACUCCUUGAUUCCCUUCAGCUCGAUGGAUCGGAGAUGGUGGCACCUAUGGAGGAGGAUGAGUGAAUCUAAAGAUGAGAUUCUCUUAUCUGAGCUGCUAGAUUUGGAAAACGAGGAAUGGAAUGUGGUUAGGAAGUUAAUCAAAUCCUAGUUCUCUCCACUUAGUUGAAAAUGGUAAUGAUUGAGAAGCUUAAAGUUGGAAGUGUGGGACCCAUUCCCUGUAUACCAACCACAUAAGCGGUAGGAACUUGACAAGACCAUUGAUCAUCUCUUUUCUUCUCUUCCACUUCUCUGUUUCUCAGAGCAGCAUGCAGGACAAAGCGAGCCGAUUACAUUUAAUUUCAGCACCAUCUGCAAUGCCUGCAACUAGCAAUUUGAGGAGUGUAAUAUAGAACCCAGUUAGGUGACCUUUACUAUAUAAAGUGUCUCUCAUUCUAGCAAUUUGAGGAGUGUAAUAUAGAACCCAAUUAGGUGACCUUUGCUAUAUAAAGUGUCUCUCAUUCUGUGAA